rnacentral:sRNA from 1 species
UUUUAUUCCAACCCCUCAAUGGGGGACGGGAGACACAUUCUUGAAACAGCUCAUUGAUGGUUCAGAAUAUUCCUAAUAGCAGGUAAAUGAUGCCAAUGGUAGGUGCUGGGGCAAGACAGGAACAGGAGGUGGGGGUGGCCUGGUGGGGUCCAGUGGAACUCUCUGGAGACUGUGAGUGGGACCCUGAAGGCUGGGAGGACAUUCCAGAAAGGUGGGAGCAGGGAGAGCACAGGUUCCAAAGGCAGGAAGGGGAUGGCGUCUGUGGUGGGUAUGGGGAGAGCAGGACAGGUCUUCAACUGGAGUGGGAUGUUCAUGCAGGAGUGGUGAGCCCAGAGAAAAUCAGAGAGAUGGGGGUGGCCCUUCAACAACGGGUGGAGGAAUGAGGACGUUCCCCGCAGGCAUUAGGAAGCCACUGAAGGUUGAUGAGAUCUAGCAGUGAGUGUGACAGGAGGUUGUGGAAGUGGAGGAAAGGAGGCCAUUACUGUCACCCAGAAAGACUGGGGGAGGCAGGGGGAAGAAAGGCCCUGCAGGCAGGCCUCGGUGAGUGCACCUGGGGUGACUGCAUCCCCUCCGCUCCAUACGUGUUCCCUGCAGGUGAAGCAGAACCUCCUGAACGUCUCCUACCACAUCGCACAGUACACCAGCAUCAUCGCUGACCUGCGGGGUGAGAUCCAGCGACUCAAGUGCAAGAUUGAUGAGCAGACUGGGCGGGGCCAGGCCCGGGGCCGGCAGGAUCGGGGUGACAUCCGCCACAUCCAAGCUGAGGUCCAGCUGCACAGCGGGCAGGGUGAGAAGGCCGGCAUGGGACAGCUUCGGGAGCAGCUCGCCAGCGCCUUCCAGG